rnacentral:rRNA from 1 species
GACCAGACUCCUACGGGAGGCAGCAGUGGGGAAGAGGGCACAAUGGGAGCAAGCCUGAAGCAGCCAUGCCGCGUGAAUGAAGAAGGCCUUCGGGUUAUAAAGUACCUUCAGCGGGGAGGAAGGCGAUAAGGCUAAUAACCUUGCCGAUUGACGUUACCCGCAGAAGAAGCACCGGCUAACUCCGUGCCAGCAGCCGCGGUAAUACGGAGGGUGCAAGCGUUAAUCGGAAUUACUGGGCGUAAAGCGCACGCAGGCGGUCUGUCAAGUCGGAUGUGAAAUCCCCGGGCUCAACCUGGGAACUGCAUUCGAAACUGGCAGGCUGGAGUCUUGUAGAGGGGGGUAGAAUUCCAGGUGUAGCGGUGAAAUGCGUAGAGAUCUGGAGGAAUACCGGUGGCGAAGGCGGCCCCCUGGACAAAGACUGACGCUCAGGUGCGAAAGCGUGGGGAGCAAACAGGAUUAGAUACCCCCGUAA